UUCCCGGCAUGUCAAAACCUGAUACUUACCUUCUCGUGCUUCAUAUAAAGUGGACUUGUACUUACCUCCUCGUGCUUCAUAUAAAGAUGAUUUUCGUCGACGAGAUGUCUAUGCUGAUCAAAUAUUUUCUGAAGAAGAUUUCGUAGGGUGGGGUCGUCCUCCUUCUCCCUUAUUUCGGAUGAAUACUGAAACCACAAACGUCAUUCGAGGUGCGACAGGACCACAUGCUGGUGUUCCGCCCCCUCCUCCACCUCCUCCACCGGGUAUCGCUUAGAUGUAACGAGGCCUCUGUGGUUGUCCGUAUGUCGUGUCUGCUCCAUGGUGUAAUUAGUCAUCGGUCUACAGGUGGUGAUGCUAAAUUUAUUUGACAUACUCUCGUUUUAAACGGCAUCCUCUUCAACCAUUUUAUUUAGUGAUCUUAAAAGACUUUGUGAUUGUUGACUGUGAAGUAUGUUUUCUCUUCCUCUCGUGAAGCAUGAGUGGAAAUAUCACUUUGUACUAAAAUACACAAAUAAGAUCAAAUAUCGUCUUCCUCUUGGUGAGCUACCAUUCUCACACAUCUACAGUCACACGUACACGUGAGGACAUCUACUCCGUGACGUCAGACCACGUGUAAACACGUGACCCGAAUUUGGCAACAAACCGUAAAAUUCGUGUUUGCCGAAAUGUGUAUUAUUUGAACUCAUUUAAAACGCUUUUCAUUUUGAGAUAACGGCCUUAGAUGUAUUACUGUGUUUGGUACUGUCAAUGCAUUACAGGUAUUAUUAAUAAUAUUUACCUUAGUUACUGUAUUGGAACGACUGUGUGUGAAUGAAACCAAUUUAAUGGUCUGAAUGGGUUUGAAAUGCCGGUGUGAAGAUGCAAAAAGAUUGGUUGAAAACUUUUUGUACAUAAUGAAAUAACCCUAAUUCUGCUGUCCCAUGGAGGAAAGCAUUUAAACAAAGUUUAGAAAAAGGAAAUGUUUUGUUAAGACAGUGGAAUCCCUCUGUGAGGCGAGUUCGGAGUUUGAUAGUUGUGUGACACUUGUCUUUUGAAAAGAAAAAGUUCGGCAAUGGCCUCUGUGAAGAGGUGAGUGAGGAGAUUUAUAUCUGUGUGCCGGUGUUAUUCCUUGGAUUUUGUUGAAGUGACCAGUGAUCUUACUUUGUGUACGGACGACCUUUCAAACAAACCUUUUUGUUGAAUUGAUAAAGACUAAAUCACCAGGGAGAUAAUUACCGUGUGGCAAAUGUGAUCUUCUAAAACUGAGUAGAUUAUAGUGUUUAAUUUCUAGAAUGCU